rnacentral:rRNA from 1 species
AGCAGCCGCGGUAAUUCCAGCUCCAAUAGCGUAUAUUAAAGUUGUUGCAGUUAAAAAGCUCGUAGUUGAACCUUAGGCCCGUGCGGGUGGUCCGUCCUCUGGGCGAGCACUGCCUCGUCGCGGGUCUCACCUUCUGGCGAGCGUGGAUGCCAUUCACUUGGUGUCUGCGGGAACCAGGACCUUUACCUUGAAAAAAUUAGAGUGCUCAAAGCGGGCUCGUACGCUUGAAUACAUUAGCAUGGAAUAAUGAAAUAGGACGACGGUUCUAUUUUGUUGGUUUCCGGGACAGUCGUAAUGAUUAAUAGGGAUAGUUGGGGGCAUUCGUAUUCAAUCGUCAGAGGUGAAAUUCUUGGAUUUAUUGAAGACGGACUACUGCGAAAGCAUUUGCCAAGGAUGUUUUCAUUAAUCAAGAGCGAAAGUUGGGGGAUCGAAGACGAUUAGAUACCGUCGUAGUCUCAACCAUAAACUAUGCCGACUGGGAAUCGGGCGAUGUUAUUUUUCGUGACUCGCUCGGCGCCCC